GGUUCGCAUUAUUCCGCCGGAAAAGAUUUAUCGGUGUGAGAUGGACCCGCGUCUGAUUAGCCAGUUGGCAGGGUAACGGCCUACCAAAGCGACGAUCAGUAGCCGGCCUGAGAGGGUGAACGGCCACAUUGGGACUGAGACACGGCCCAAACUCCUACGGGAGGCAGCAGUGGGGAAUAUUGCACAAUGGGGGAAACCCUGAUGCAGCGACGCCGCGUGAGUGAAGAAGUAUUUCGGUAUGUAAAGCUCUAUCAGCAGGGAAGAAAAUGACGGUACCUGACUAAGAAGCCCCGGCUAACUACGUGCCAGCAGCCGCGGUAAUACGUAGGGGGCAAGCGUUAUCCGGAUUUACUGGGUGUAAGGGGAGCGUAGACGGCCAGACAAGUCAGAAGUGAAAGCCCAGGGCUCAACCCUGGGACUGCUUUUGAAACUGCCGGGCUGGAGUGCAGGAGAGGUAAGCGGAAUUCCUAGUGUAGCGGUGAAAUGCGUAGAUAUUAGGAGGAACACCAGUGGCGAAGGCGGCUUACUGGACUGUAACUGACGUUGAGGCUCGAAAGCGUGGGGAGCAAAUAGGAUUAGAUACCCUGGUAGUCCACGCCGUAAACGAUGAAUAAUGGGUGUCGGUG
rnacentral:rRNA from 1 species